GAGAGUGUGGGAGUGUGUGUGUGUGUGUGUGUGUGAGAGGGCGUGGAUGGUGAGAGGGGCUGCGAGUGUGUGAGACUGUGCGUGUGAGACUGUAUGUGAGAGACUGAGCGAGAGUGUGAGAGACUGUGUGUGAGAGACCGUGUGUGUGAGAGGCUGUGUGUGAGAGACCGUGUGUGAGAGACCGUGUGUGUGAGAGACCGUGUGUGUGAGAGGCUGUGUGUGAGAGACCGUGUGUGUGAGAGACCGUGAGUGUGAGGCUGUGUGGGAGAGGCUGUGUGUGGGAGAGAGUGGGCUGGCGAGGGAGAGGAGAGCGUGUGUGUGGGGCGUGAGAAGCGCGCGCACACGGUCGCGCUCUCGCGGGUCCGCGGCCGCCUGGCCCCGGGGCUGUGCGGCGGGCGCCUGUCCCGAGCCUCCGGCCGGCCUGUGCGCGUCACCGCCCCUGUCCCGGGCCCCGCGGAGGCUCCGCGCGUGCUGCCUGGCGGGGUUGGUUGGUGCAGCCUUGGGAGCGUCCGGUGGGGUGUCUGCCUUUGUGUGUGUUUCAAUAACUGGCCUAGGCCUGCCCAGGAAUGGGGGAAGCAUGCUCUGCUCCUUGGUGAUUUCCUGGUUCUGUGUCCUCUUCCACUCCUAGGUGUGAUUUCCUGCUCCUCCAGAGAAGAACAAUAAGAGGUACAAGCUCUUUGAGAAAAAUAGCGGGUAGAAGGGACUACGCGUUCACCACCGUCUCUCUGGGACCUUGCUCUGGACUGAAAUCCCCUGAGAACUGCACCUGAGUAGAAGGCUGUACUCCUUCAAGCUUUUUCUCUGAAUCAUUAAUGAAGGAGGUUCUGGGAAGUCUUCGCCUACACAGCAGGGAAUUCCUGAGGAACACUUUUCAGAGACGAAUCGACUCACUGCGGUUGCACCUUAUCCAUUGACCAGUGAAUCAGAUAUUCUAGCCUUUGAGGUUGACCCAGACUCUCACCAAACCCCAUUCUCUACAUUUAUGGAGAGUCACAUUCCUCUGCUUUUGGCCAAAUUCUCUGGAAGAGGACAUCUGUAAUCAUUCCUCUGCAGGGCACUGACAGUGAUGUGCUACACUCUGUCCCAAAUCAAUUACUCUUUGCAAAUGCAGUUGUACUGUAGAAGCCCUGAAUUUUAGCUGGCAUGUGGCCAUCCAGAAUAACGGUUUCAUUUCACAGUCUCCCUUGCAGUUAUUAAGCCGUGGGAAAACACCUGCAAGUGUAAACCAUGUCAAGUGUUUAGAACAGUGCCUGCACACAAGCCAUGACCAAAAAAU
rnacentral:lncRNA from 1 species